AACGAACGCUGGCGGCAGGCCUAACACAUGCAAGUCGAGCGAGGACUUCGGUCCUAGCGGCGGACGGGUGAGUAACGCGUGGGAACGUGCCCUUUGCUUCGGAAUAGCCCUGGGAAACUGGGAGUAAUACCGGAUGAGCCCUUUGGGGGAAAGAUUUAUCGGCGAAGGAUCGGCCCGCGUUGGAUUAGGUAGUUGGUGGGGUAAUGGCCUACCAAGCCGACGAUCCAUAGCUGGUUUGAGAGGAUGAUCAGCCACACUGGGACUGAGACACGGCCCAGACUCCUACGGGAGGCAGCAGUGGGGAAUCUUAGACAAUGGGGGAAACCCUGAUUUAGCCAUGCCGCGUGAGCGAUGAAGGCCUUAGGGUUGUAAAGCUCUUUCAGCUGGGAAGAUAAUGACGGUACCAGCAGAAGAAGCCCCGGCUAACUCCGUG
rnacentral:rRNA from 1 species